UACGUAGGUGGCAAGCGUUGUCCGGAAUUAUUGGGCGUAAAGGGCGCGUAGGCGGCCUGGCAAGUGGAAGGUGAAAUCCCUCGGCUUAACCGAGGAACUGCCCUCCAAACUGCUUGGCUUGAGUCCGGGAGAGGUGAGUGGAAUUCCCAGUGUAGCGGUGAAAUGCGUAGAUAGUUGGGAGGAACACCAGUGGCGAAGGCGGCUCACUGGACCGGAACUGACGCUGAGGCGCGAAAGCGUGGGGAGCAAACGGG
rnacentral:rRNA from 1 species